rnacentral:rRNA from 1 species
ACUCCUACGGGGAGGCAGCAGUGGGGAAUAUUGCACAAUGGGGGAAACCCUGAUGCAGCCAUGCCGCGUGUGUGAAGAAGGCCUUCGGUUGUAAAGCACUUUCAGUAGGGAGGAAGGUAGUGUAGUUAACACCUGCAUUAUUUGUACGUUACCUACAGAAGAAGCACCGGCUAACUCCGUGCCAGCAGCCGCGGGUAAUACGGAGGGUGCGAGCGUUAAUACGGAAUUACGUGGGACGUAAAGCGCAUGCAGGCGGCCUGUUAAGUCAGAUGUGAAACGCCCGGGGUCUUAACCGUCGGAAUUGCAUUUGAAACUGGCAGGCUAGAGUCUUGUAGAGGGGUUAGAAUUUCGA